rnacentral:rRNA from 1 species
GGGUUGUGAGGUUAAGCGACUAAGCGUACACGGUGGAUGCCCUGGCAGUCAGAGGCGAUGAAGGACGUGCUAAUCUGCGAUAAGCGUCGGUAAGGUGAUAUGAACCGUUAUAACCGGCGAUUUCCGAAUGGGGAAACCCAGUGUGAUUCGUCACACUAUCAUUAACUGAAUCCAUAGGUUAAUGAGGCGAACCGGGGGAACUGAAACAUCUAAGUACCCCGAGGAAAAGAAAUCAACCGAGAUUCCCCCAGUAGCGGCGAGCGAACGGGGAGCAGCCCAGAGCCUGAAUCAGUGUGUGUGUUAGUGGAAGCGUCUGGAAAGGCGCGCGAUACAGGGUGACAGCCCCGUACACAAAAAUGCACAUACUGUGAGCUCGAUGAGUAGGGCGGGACACGUGGUAUCCUGUCUGAAUAUGGGGGGACCAUCCUCCAAGGCUAAAUACUCCUGACUGACCGAUAGUGAACCAGUACCGUGAGGGAAAGGCGAAAAGAACCCCGGCGAGGGGAGUGAAAAAGAACCUGAAACCGUGUACGUACAAGCAGUGGGAGCCUCUUUAUGGGGUGACUGCGUACCUUUUGUAUAAUGGGUCAGCGACUUAUAUUCUGUAGCAAGGUUAACCGAAUAGGGGAGCCGAAGGGAAACCGAGUCUUAACUGGGCGUUAAGUUGCAGGGUAUAGACCCGAAACCCGGUGAUCUAGCCAUGGGCAGGUUGAAGGUUGGGUAACACUAACUGGAGGACCGAACCGACUAAUGUUGAAAAAUUAGCGGAUGACUUGUGGCUGGGGGUGAAAGGCCAAUCAAACCGGGAGAUAGCUGGUUCUCCCCGAAAGCUAUUUAGGUAGCGCCUCGUGAAUUCAUCUCCGGGGGUAGAGCACUGUUUCGGCAAGGGGGUCAUCCCGACUUACCAACCCGAUGCAAACUGCGAAUACCGGAGAAUGUUAUCACGGGAGACACACGGCGGGUGCUAACGUCCGUCGUGAAGAGGGAAACAACCCAGACCGCCAGCUAAGGUCCCAAAGUCAUGGUUAAGUGGGAAACGAUGUGGGAAGGCCCAGACAGCCAGGAUGUUGGCUUAGAAGCAGCCAUCAUUUAAAGAAAGCGUAAUAGCUCACUGGUCGAGUCGGCCUGCGCGGAAGAUGUAACGGGGCUAAACCAUGCACCGAAGCUGCGGCAGCGACACUAUGUGUUGUUGGGUAGGGGAGCGUUCUGUAAGCCUGCGAAGGUGUACUGUGAGGUAUGCUGGAGGUAUCAGAAGUGCGAAUGCUGACAUAAGUAACGAUAAAGCGGGUGAAAAGCCCGCUCGCCGGAAGACCAAGGGUUCCUGUCCAACGUUAAUCGGGGCAGGGUGAGUCGACCCCUAAGGCGAGGCCGAAAGGCGUAGUCGAUGGGAAACAGGUUAAUAUUCCUGUACUUGGUGUUACUGCGAAGGGGGGACGGAGAAGGCUAUGUUGGCCGGGCGACGGUUGUCCCGGUUUAAGCGUGUAGGCUGGUUUUCCAGGCAAAUCCGGAAAAUCAAGGCUGAGGCGUGAUGACGAGGCACUACGGUGCUGAAGCAACAAAUGCCCUGCUUCCAGGAAAAGCCUCUAAGCAUCAGGUAACAUCAAAUCGUACCCCAAACCGACACAGGUGGUCAGGUAGAGAAUACCAAGGCGCUUGAGAGAACUCGGGUGAAGGAACUAGGCAAAAUGGUGCCGUAACUUCGGGAGAAGGCACGCUGAUAUGUAGGUGAAGUCCCUCGCGGAUGGAGCUGAAAUCAGUCGAAGAUACCAGCUGGCUGCAACUGUUUAUUAAAAACACAGCACUGUGCAAACACGAAAGUGGACGUAUACGGUGUGACGCCUGCCCGGUGCCGGAAGGUUAAUUGAUGGGGUUAGCGCAAGCGAAGCUCUUGAUCGAAGCCCCGGUAAACGGCGGCCGUAACUAUAACGGUCCUAAGGUAGCGAAAUUCCUUGUCGGGUAAGUUCCGACCUGCACGAAUGGCGUAAUGAUGGCCAGGCUGUCUCCACCCGAGACUCAGUGAAAUUGAACUCGCUGUGAAGAUGCAGUGUACCCGCGGCAAGACGGAAAGACCCCGUGAACCUUUACUAUAGCUUGACACUGAACAUUGAGCCUUGAUGUGUAGGAUAGGUGGGAGGCUUUGAAGUGUGGACGCCAGUCUGCAUGGAGCCGACCUUGAAAUACCACCCUUUAAUGU